GUUACACCCCUACUGUUUACUAUGUGUUUUAUAUGGGAAGCGCCUGCGAGACAGCCUCACGCUUCUGAAGGGUUUCAAACUUUUGGCUGCCUAUUGAAUGUGACUCCCCUGCCAGCAGUGUGUGCUGCGGUGCUCUCUACCUGCACUAAUGCAUCGCAAGGGGAUUCCUCAUGACUGCCACUAAGCCCGAUUCUGUACUCCCUCCAGCUUGUUCCUUCAAACAGCACGCAAGUACUGCUCACAUAUGACUUGACCUGAACAGAAUCACUUUCAGGACAGUCUGCAUGUCAGACAUUCAGGGCUCCAGACUAAAAAAAAUGACUUAGGAGCAUGACAUCAGGAGACUUGGCGCAUUCUCUUUACACUCUAGAGACUGUUGUGCAUUAAAAUACCAGGAGAUCAGCAGUUACAGAAAUACUCCAACCAGCCCGUCUGGCACCAACAAUCAUGCCACAGUCGAAAUCACUGAGAUCAAAUUUUUUCCCCAUUCUGAUGGUUGAUGUGAAUAUUAACUAAAGCU